rnacentral:rRNA from 1 species
UACGAGGGGGGCAAGCGUUGUUCGGAAUUAUUGGGCGUAAAGGGUGCGUAGGCGGUUUGGUAAGUCUUAUGUGAAAUCUACAGGCUCAACUUGUAGUCUGCAUGAGAAACUGCCGGGCUUGAGUAUGGGAGAGGUGAGUGGAAUUCCUGGUGUAGCGGUGAAAUGCGUAGAUAUCAGGAGGAACACCUGUGGCGAAAGCGGCUCACUGGACCAUAACUGACGCUGAGGCACGAAAGCUAGGGGAGCAAACAGG